CACUCUGAACCGAAUAUGACACCAUUGUCCUAAAGAUACCGAAUACCAUACUUUGGCGAGUACUGGUACAAACUCAUCCAUUACUGCGACACUUUCGUUGACUCGCUAGUGUUUCAUCGUACUUGGGCGUGUUAGUAUAGUACUUGCUGGUACUAUAUAGGCCAUAAUAAUUUGGAUUUAUUUUUUUGAUUAAUUUUUUUUUUUUGAUAAUAAAUCCAAAUUACAUAAUAAUUUGGAUUUAUUAUUCAUUCGAAGUUUUCAAGAUCUCAGGACAUCCCAGAUCCAAACUGAAAAGCCAAAACUAGUGAAGGGGAUUUUGAUUUUGGUUGUUUGAGGAAGCUUUGACAAGGAUUUGAAGCAUCAGUUCUCAUCAAGUACAAAGAUCGGGGGCUUGGCCUUGAAAUUUUGGGUAUUGGCAAACUAACAUGAAUAAUGUGAAGGCUAAUAAAUCUGCACACAAAGAGUCCGUUCGUGACUUGAGUUUCUCAAGGACGGACCUGAAGUUGGUCUUGCUCUGAUGAUGGUACUGUUAAAGUGUGGGACUUUGCUCAAUGCCAAGAAGAGCGGACACUAGCUGCUUUAUGAUAUAUGAACUAUGAAGGAGCUUGAAUCUUAUCGUGGUCAUCGCAAGGAUGUAACUGGUCCCAGUGAUGCUGCUACACUUGUAGGCCGUCUAUCAAGCAAUUUCCCAUUACCAGAAGCCCCAGCCUCUCCUGGAGCUUUUCCACCUGGAUUGACAUGCAACGAAGGAACCAUUCCUGGUGUUGGGGUAGCAAUGCCUCUAUCUAUUCCUAUUCCGGAUUCAUCAGAACAAGGGGAACAAAGGCCACCUCUCCAAGUUCCAAUGUCUGUGGCUCAACCUCCUCUCCCUUCAGUGUCUCAUCCUUUUCUCUUGGAAUCCACACAAUACCACCAAAUCCCACAAGAAGUUAGACCUCCCCAAAUGGCCUCUCUCCCUCUACCAACUCCUUUGCCCCCAGUUCCACAUCCUUCCUAGUUGGCUAUGCCUCAACAUAUGCAUAUGCCCUAACCCCCUCUCCCACCUGGUUUGUUGCAUUCCUUGUCAUCAUCUUCAUUUCCUAUGCCCCCUCCUCUCUUAUCAAUGCUAUCUUCUCUCACUUCUUCCGUGCCAAUGGGCUCAAUGCCAAAUUCCUUACCCGUCACUGCAUUGCACUCUGACUGUAUACUGCAAGACCAGGUGCUCCUUUGCCUCAGGCACCAGUUUUGGGCUCGACUCGUUAUCAUCCGUCGUAUGCCAUGCAGGGCCAGCCACCCAUGAAUGUGAUGCAUGGUGGGAGUGUUACAGGUGGUAACGUUCAUCCUUUGCUGGGUGGAUUUGCAAAUGGAGUGAUAGGUGUGCAAGGCCCCACAAGUACGAGUGGGGUGGUGACAUAUGCUAUCAGGGGCGUGUUUAACCGGCCACCAGGUGGAUAACUUGAGUUGAUUCAAGGACUCAGUGCUUACUAGAAACUUGGAAAAGGCCGAAGCCCUAAUUAUAGUCGGCAUACGGCUUGGGUAUCUUCCCGAUGUUGUGACUUACAAUACUUAAUCGCUGCAUAUUGCCAGUUUCUCAGUGUUGAUGCUGCAUACUCAGUUCUUGACAAAAUGAAAGAAGCUGGAACCUAGCCUGAUGUUAUCACUUACAAUACUCUAAUUGCCGGUGCUACCAAGAAAGAGCUUAUAUCACGGACCCUUGAUUUGUUCCAUGUGAUGCUAGAGACUGAGAUUGUUCCUGAUGCUUGGAGCUAUAGCUCAAUGAUCCACUGUUACUUCAAAGUUGGAAGGUCUGAUGAUGCUUACCAGAUUAUCCAGGACAUGUUCUCGAGGAACAUUGCACCUACCUUAACUGCAUAUAAUACCGUAAUCAAUGGUCUAUGCAAGGCUGGUGACAUAGGUGAUGCCCUUAGAUUGUUUAGGAAGCUUGAUGGGCUCGGUUGCCCUCAAGAAUUAAUCAGAUACAACAUACUAAUUGAUGGACUGUGUAGGUGUGGCAAGAUACAUGAAGCGAGAAGGGUCCUCAAGGAGCUUGAGAAGAUGGGUUAUACCCCAAAUGCCAUAACUUUUACAACUGUCAUAACCUGUUGUUUUUGAUCAGGUAAAGCCAAUGUUGGCUUUGAGCUCUUUUCUGAAAUGAAGCAUAAGGGCUACAAUAUCGAUGGCGAUGCCUUUGCAGAUUGUACAAUGAUUAGUGAUAUUUCCAAGUUGUGUAUGACUGAAGAGGCUUAUGCUUGCACAGACCGGAUGCUUGGCUGUGGGGCCCCUAUUGAUAUUGUUUCUUACAACAGCAUGAUGAAUAGCUAUUGUAAAGAAGGGACUUGGUCUCAGCUUUUCGGCUUGUGAAUGAGAAAAAGACGAUGGGGGUAAAAAAAGUGAUGAAUAUACCCAUACAAUGCGGAUUGAUAGGUUGUGUAAGAUAGGUGAUGUAGAUGCCACGAGAAGGCAUUUUAGAUAAAUGGAGAUAAGGGGUUGGAGAUCGAGCAUUGUGGCUAAGAAUUGCUUGAUUCAUGGGUUGUUUAAAGCUGGUCGGGUGGACUUAGCCAUCAAGCGGUUUAGUGAGAUGAAGGUAAAAGACUGCUAUACUUAUACCUCGGUUUUGCAUGGGCUUUGUUGGCUAAGAGAUUCCAUGUUGCUUUUAGGCUUUUGUUUGCUUGCUUGAAAGAUGGCGUGAAGGUCCUUAGGUCAGCUCGUUGUGCUGUCUUGGCUGGUUUUAGGAAGGAAUCGAGGAAGCUCAAGUCUGGAAUUUGUCUGGUCAAGGGCUUACAUACUUGAGCAUGGGUCUCAUCUUUUCCUUAAAUUGGUUGUCUGAUGCAGCUCUGAGAAAUGGGUAACCAAGGUUUUGAGAUUUGGAGCGGUAUCUUUUCCUCGAAUCCGUUAAGAAGCUCCUCUCCGAGAAAUGGGUGUUGCGAAGGUUCAAGAAAUAAGGUGAGCUUGCAAUAUUGAGAGAUGUAUUGCCGUUUCUAGAUCCAAGCUGUUAUUGUGACCGACUCAAGGAAUGAGGGAAAUAGCCUUUAGCCGUUAUAUUUGAUGCUAUGCUUACCCGCCAUGCCCAAAGACAAUGAAGGGAGAUAUUCUGAAUUGGCCUGUGAUGGAUUCAUUAUUGGGGGGUUGUCAUUGUGGAUUUCGCAUUAGCUUCUUUCUCGGUUUAUUGGUGGACUUUUUACAGGGCAGUUCAUGGGAGAAGUGGAGGUGCCCAAUUCAUUCAAGCUGAUAAAGGGUGAUGAAUAAGGAAGGUUGUUUUUCAGUUUGACAAAGUUGCUUUUUGUAACAAUUAUUGUUUUAUAAAGUCGUUUUUCGUAAA